CAAGUCGAGCGCUAAUUACAGGGUAGCAAUAUUCUGUAGUUGGAGCGGCGCAAGGGUGCGUAACACGUGGGUAAUCUGCCAUGAAGUCUGGAAUAACUCGCUGAAAGGCGAGCUAAUGCCGGAUGUGAAAAUUAGGAGGCAUCUUCCGAUUUUCAAAGCUGGGGACCGUAAGGCCUGGCGCUUCAUGAUGAGCCCGCGGCCUAUCAGCUAGUUGGUGAGGUAACGGCUCACCAAGGCUAAGACGGGUAGCUGGUCUGAGAGGACGACCAGCCACACUGGAACUGAGACACGGUCCAGACACCUACGGGUGGCAGCAGUCGAGAAUUUUUCACAAUGGGGGAAACCCUGAUGGAGCGACGCCGCGUGGGGAUGAAUGGCUUCGGCCCGUAAACCCCUGUCAUUUGCGAACAAAUUGGUUCAAUUAAUAACUGAACCAUUGAUAGUAGCGGAAGAGGAAGGGACGGCUAACUCUGUGCCAGCAGCCGCGGUAAUACAGAGGUCACAAGCGUUGUUCGGAUUCACUGGGCGUAAAGGGUGCGUAGGCGGUCGGGUAAGUCUGAUGUGAAAUCUCACAGCUUAACUGUGAAACUGCAUUGGAUACUAUUCGGCUAGAGAGUUGGAGGGGGGACUGGAAUUCUUGGUGUAGCAGUGAAAUGCGUAGAUAUCAAGAGGAACACCAGUGGCGAAGGCGAGUCCCUGGACAACUUCUGACGCUGAGGCACGAAAGCUAGGGGAGCAAACAGGAUUAGAUACCCUGGUUAGUCCUAGCUGUAAACGGUGCUUAUUUGCUGUAAAAGGAAUCCACCCCUUUUGUGGCGUACCAACCCCGUUAAAUAAGCCGCCUGGGAAGUUCCGGUCCCAAAAUUAAAACUCAAA
rnacentral:rRNA from 1 species